ACAUAACCUACUUAAGACAUCUUGUUUAUAAGUAAUAGUGAACAUAACUUACUUAAGACAUGUUUAAUUAUUGUACAGUUAAGUUAAGUGUUGUUAGCCAUGCUAAAUUACUGUUAAUGAUUGUAAUUAAGCUGCUGGGGUAGUGUAAUUAGCUAGUGAUGGGUUUAAUGACCUUGUUAAGUGCUUAAUGAUGUUGUUAUGCAUUUAAUGACCUAGUUGAGUGCAUAAUGACCUCGUUAUGCACUUAAUGACCUAGUUAAGUGCAUAAUGACCUAGUUAAGUGCAUAAUGACCUCGUUAUGCUUUUAAUGACCUAAUUAAAUGCAUAAUGACCUCGUUAUUGACUUAUUGACCUCAUUAUGCACUUAAUGACCUCGUUAUACACUGAAUGACCUCGUUAUACACUGAAUGACCUCGUUAUACACUGAAUGACCUCGUUAUACACUGAAUGACCUCGUUAUACACUUAAUGACCUCGUUAUGCACUUAAGAUCUCAUUAAGCACCCACAUAAUUCCCCUCGCCUCUCCUACUGAACCAAGAACCCGGAGUCACGAACCCAAAACACUGGACCGAUAUAUUUUUCCGCCCAUAAAGGCUUCAGAUUCACGAGUUUGAAUCUCUGGGGUUCAUAUUUGAGGAGGAGAGGCGACGGGACUCAUGCACGUAACUGUAUGUGUGUUUGUUGAUGUAGUCACAGAAAAAAAAACUCCCAUCAGCGAACCCGGUGAUUUGUGAACCUGUGAAUCCGGAACAACACACAUUUUGGGGUUCGGAUUCAUGGUUUCGGAUUUGGUUUCGGAUUCACGGAUUCAUGAGUUUCGGGAUUCGUAGUUGGAUCAGAGUACAGUUUUAUUCCCCAAUGUCUGUAUUUAUGUAAUUACUGAACUGUAUUAACCUGGUCAAGUACUUAAGGGCCUUAGUAUUAACUUAAGAUUUUUCAAUAUACUGUACUUAAAUUACAUAUAUUUCAGAAUACAGUAAGAGCAUUAAUUUUCCUCAUAUAUCCAGGUUACAGCAGUUAUUGUACACAUAUAUCCAGGUUACAGGAUUAUCAAUAUUCCUACCUUUAGAUUACAGUAAUAAUCUGUAAUGUGUUGUUCCUAUUACAGUCUUAAGCACACUGUAACUCUCCUCAACAUUGAUCUGGAACCCAAAUGUAAUAGUUAAGUUGCUAUUUAUGCUAUUGUACUGUAUUUUUUUAUAUAUACUUGUAAAAAAAAUAGCGGAAACUAUUUAUUUUACAUUCCAUAGAUGAUUUGUGUCUCUGCUGCCAACGAGUAAUUUUUUAAUUUUUUUUUUUUACGAGUAAAUAGCCCACCCAGGUACAGGUCCUGGGGGAGGGAUAAGAGUGAAAAUAAAUAAAAAUAUAAAAUAAAAA